rnacentral:rRNA from 1 species
AUGAUAUGGGUCGCCCCUUCUUCUUGCGCCAAAGAUCUUACCAUUUCCGAAGGAACUGGGGCUACAUUUCUUUUCAAUUUCCAUUCAAGAGUUUCUAUCUGUUUCCACGCCCUUUUCUUGAGACCUCGAAACAUGAGGACAAAUUACUUCUCUUAG